ACGUCAAACAUUCGCGUCUCGCUUCGAUGUCGGAUUUUUCAUACGCGUAUUUCCAUAGCUUUAGUGAAAUUUAAACAAACACAAAUCGAACAACCACUCUUUCCGCCCGCAUUGUGAUAAAAGUACAAGGAAGCGGCGUUAAUUGAAAUUGCAUUGUGUAUUAAUAAAAAAAUAUAAGAUUGAAAUCUCUCCUUAAAGGGCGCGAGGUGCGGCAAUUUAGCGGCCGAACAGUUGCCAUUGUGUUAGUGCGUUUAUAUGUGCGUCUGCUGCUUUGACUGCUACCAGUGACCGUUGUCUGCAGCUUGUCGGUCGCCGUACUCGUACUUUAGCACUUUAGGGCGGUGAACGAAAAAUCGAUUGUGGCGCUGACUGUUAGCCUUUUAGUUUGUCAGCCCAACUGUUACUAUUGUCCGUCUGUAAGUGCAUCUGCCUCUCGAACAGGCCUCUUCUAGCGGUUUCUGUGCCUAUUUUUCAAUCAUAACGAAAGGUGUGUAAACUUGUGACAAUAAAAAACGCGACAAAGUGAAAAAAACAUGCGAAAAAAUAAUAUAUAACACGCUGUAGUGCUAAAAAAAACUCAAUGCUUAUCGCUGUUGCUGAGAUCGAAUGCGGAAAGCGUUUUUUUUUAUCUUUCAGCCCGAAAAAAACGUCAUAGCUGUCAAGAUACUGGACAUUCUUAUAUUUGAUAAGAACUGUCAACAAUGUCAAGCUCAUGAACACAUAAACAACAGUUGCAACGUUCCACGUAGAAAUCAAAACAAAUUAUUGUCCAAACAUUUCAGCGCACACAACGUACCGGCAUCUCGGCGAGACAAGCAAAACAAACACAAUCAUGAAAUUCUAGCAAAAAACUUAUUGGAAAACUGCACAAAAUUGAUUGGUGCAUAGCGAUCAAAUAGCAAUAAAAAUCACAGAAAAAAUCAACAAAUGUAAUAAAUACAUAUUUCGAUAAAAAAAAAACACUGAUUGUGUCAGCUCUAGCGAUAAGAGAGAUUUGCAAGGCGAAGAUUUAACGCAGCCUAGGCUAGAGUUUGCACACACACGCAGCGCGAAUGUGACGUGAUUUCUUCGUUUGGACAGCAAACAAAAAUUAUCAGCAGGCACAAAUCUAAAUAAAUCUGAAAGACGACAUUUUUUUGUUUAAGCAAAAGGAACAUACAAAUUAAAUAUAACUAAAAAAGUCAACAACACUAACGCACGUAAGCCUAUUAAGCACGUAACGAUCGCACCAAAACCAAAAUUAGCAACUAAGAGGAAAAGUAAACAAAAAUCGAACUCAAAAAUAUUAUAUAUGUAAAUAUAUAUAUAUAUAUACUUAUUUAAAAAUACAACGCCAGAAUAUCUUAACUGCAAGCACUUGAAACUUAAGCGAAAAUAACUUAAAUCCCUAACUCAAUUUACAAGCAAACAAAAAUAUAAAUAAGUAA